AGUUUCUUCUCUCUGGGGUUUUUCCAAAUACCUUUUCUAACAAAUAAGAAAGGCCAAGUAUGUUCUACAUCCCUGUAACCCUAGCAGUAGAGGAAAGGAAGGAGGGCCAGAAGGCCCAGGUUAUCUUUAACUACAUAGUGGGCUUGAAGCCAGCCUGAAAUACAUGUGACUUUGCUUUGGGGGUAGAAAAAAAAAAAACCAAUUCCAUUCUCUAUCCAGCCAACGUUGCAUUUACAAGGUUAUUUUUGUUUUCUAAUUACCAGAGUUUAUAUUAUAGAGCACUUCAUAGUUAAAUUUAAAAGACUUUUAAAAAUAUCUCAGAUUUUGCCAUCAAACUGUUAAUUACAAUAGAAGGUUAUAUAUAAAUCCAGAUUGUUUCCUAUGGAUUCUGCCACUCUGCACUUACAACUGCCUCAGCUUUGUCUAAAGUAAGGCAUCUGGUUGAGACGGAGAGAAACAUAGUCUGACAAGAUCUUUUAAUUUUUCUCAAUCAUAAUUUAGGCUAGAGGAGUUUUUAGUAUUCUCAAAGAGGAAUCCUAUUUUUUGCUGCUUGUGUUCUUGUGACUUUAGUUGAGAUAAAUUUCCAUUCUGCUGAGUUAUUUGGAAAACAUUCUUUUAGUCUAGGAAAUGUUUUAGUCUUCCUGGAAGUUAAGAGCAUGAAUGUUUUAAUACAUUUACUCAGUCUUGCUGUAUUUGAAAUUUGUUAGACAUAUUGCCUUCUAAGUAGUAAAAAAUGGAAGAUUUUUAUCGCUCUUUUUUUGAAAAAAAGUGAACCUGUUUUUUCAUUAUUUGCCCAAUUUAUGCUUUGUCAUAGUUUGUUCAAAGAGGCAUCUGCCUUUAAGCAAAAAUUCAUGUAUAGAUUUAACAUAAGAUAUUUUUUAAAGUCUAUGUUUUUUCCUAUAGUGAAGAAUGCGCUCUUCACUCACUAGGAAUAUGACCUGCCACCCAGGUGUUUGUUUGUACAAAGCAGUGAUGUAUCACAGUGGUAACUGUUUACACCACAGUGUGCUUUUGUACUGAUCUUAAUGCUUAUUUAGAAGUACAGCAGACGGUGAUAGAGACAUUCAACAUGAGACGUAAGUGAAAACUAGUGAGAGUGUUAGAGAGAGUUUCACCUGGCAAUGUUUUGGUGUGUGUGGUUUUUUGUUUGUUUGUUUGUUUGUUUGUUUGUUUUUUUGAGACAGGGUCUCUUUGCAGCCCUGGCUGUCCUGGAACUCACUCUGUAGACCAGGCUGGCCUCGAUCUCAGAAAUCCACCUGCCUCUGCCUCCUGAGUGCUGGGAUUAAAGGCGUGCGCCACCAACACCUGGCUCACCUGGCAAUGUUAAAAUACUUUUGUAACUUUUUCUCUAGUACUGUGCAGUCAUUUUACUGUAUUAUCAAAACUAGCACUUUUUCGAAAGGGACUGUUUAACAAUACGGUCACAGUGUUAUUUUAUCUCCUAAACAGAAUAAGCAGGACUAUGGAAAUGUGGAGGCAGUUUCUUACUAGAUGUAGUAUUAAUUUUUUAUUUGCUAUUGCUUAGACUUUAGUUUAUUAACAUAGGUUUUGCUGAUUUGGUUUGGUUUUUCAAGUCAAGGUGUGUAGCCCUGGCUGUCCAGGAGCUCACUCUGUAGACCAAGCUGACCUUGAACUCAGAGAUCCUCCUUCCACUGCCUCCCAGUGCUGAGAUUAAAGGAGUUCACCACCAAACCCAGCUAAAAUAAUUUUAAAUUUUAUUUGUGCUGUUUCCAUUCAUAUGAAUUUACAUUCUUUGCAAGCCACUUUCAAAUUGCAUUUAGUUUUAUAUGAGCCAUCAUUGAUCAUCAGGGAUCUACUGAACUAUAACAAUUAUUCUCACUUUUCUUGAAAUGAGAAGUUGGCAAUUCUUUUCCAUCAUCGGAUUUCUGUCUGUGGUGAGAAAGGCCUGUGAUACAAGUCCCUUGUCUUGUGGUCCAUGUUCCUUUCCAUGUGCGAGUAUUUGUAAGCAGAAGCAUGCUGGAAAGCAGCAUUCAUGCUUUACUGUACUUGCCAAUUUUUUUGCUAUGUAAUUUUUCAAAGGGUAAAAUGUAAUGUAUUUACAUUUUACAUAACAACAUAACAUCACCUACAACAUAAUAAAAUUUUCUUUUUUACAAUACUUUCUCAAUUUAAAAAAAUUAUGUUGUAUUAAUAUAUAAUCUUUAACUUUCUUAUUAUAUGAUUCCUAAUAACCUGUUUUGAUUACAUACAACAGUGCAAGAAAAUCUUUAUUUAAAAGGAUGGUUUGAGUAAGUAUUUUUACAGAACAUCUGAAUGUAUUAAUGUGCAGACAUAUCCAUGAUGAUGAGAUACUUAAUAAACGUAGGAUUUAUUUGUUUUCCCCCUUAGGUUCCAAUGUCCCCAGCAUUAGUAGAUUGCCAGCUCCCUCUUUGCAGCACCCUAGCCAGUGUUAAGCUGGCAUUGUCAAACCCAUCCCAGACUUCUACAGCAGGAUGGAGUUGUUCUUUAGUUACGAGGUAAGUUUCCCCCAUGCUCAUUUCACAUUCAUUAAGAUGCAGGUUUUCAUUUUACAGUAUUGUGUAGUUUUGUAAGUUUGUUUCUUUCCUCAUGAUUCCUUAGGUUACUGGUGUAUUAUACUCAAAAAACUUAUAAAACUGCAUAAUAUAAUAAAGGACUUACCUUGUGACCAUAGAUCAGCUUCUUUUAAUAAUAUUCCCCAGAGGGUCAUUUUAAAACUCCAUGGGUUUUAAUGUCAUACAAAGGGAGCUGGCAAUCUGCAGAUGCUGUGGACAUUGGAUGAGAAGCAGUGAAAGGUAAGCUGCAAAUUUAGGCUAUUAGCUUUUGUUUUUCUGUUGAAUGCUCGAAAUUCAUUUUUCAUGUUAAAGUUUAUAAUCUAUUC
rnacentral:lncRNA from 1 species